rnacentral:misc_RNA from 1 species
AACGAGGCCGACCUGCGGCUGAGUUACCUGCGGAGGGAUCAUUACUGAAUGGUCUCCAUGACCUUUGACCCAUAAAGCCUGUGGCAAAAUCAUGUGCUUUGGCGCCCCUGGGGCGCCAUGACCAUGCGUGUAUAUGUCUUUUGUCUGAAGUUAUAGUAACAAGCAAAACUUUUAACAAUGGAUCU